rnacentral:lncRNA from 1 species
UACUACGAACGUGCGCCGACACAAAGAACAUACAUUGAUUAUUGCGACUUGGUUUAUUCUCACACAGUCAGUAGUCACACUACAUACUACAUAGUAAUCGAUUUUAAUAAUUUUUACAAGCCAAAAUCAAAAUGGAACAAAAAAAAUAAUCGAAAUAACGAAAUAACCAGCUACUAAUAAUACUCUAUGGAAUAUUUUUAAAAAGAAGCCUGGAUAUGGCGUAAGUAUUACAAUUUUAAAUUAUUCAAUAUACUAAAAUUAUGCAAAGUUAAACAAACACCAGUUGAAAAAUGUAUUAAAAAUUUAAUUGUAAUCACUGUAGUUUAUUUCGCAGCUGGAUUUUUUUGUACAACAACUAGAAGAUAGAUUUUCAACCCAUUCUGGAAUUUUUAAAGGUGUGUUUCAAGUUAAAUUAUAAUAGUGUAUUUUAUAUAAAAUUAAAACAAAUCAUUAUAUUAUACAGAUAAAAUAUUCAUGUAUCAAUCAAUAUUAUUAAAAUUCAAACUUUAAUGGUUUAUGUGUACGUGUCAUAUUUUAUAGGAUUUCAAAGUUUAUUUUCCAAUACAUUGACUUAUAAUGAGGAGGUAUCAUUUAGAAAAUUACUCGAAUUUUUUUCACCUACUUUGGAUGUGAACAAUUUAAUUGCAAAAUUGAAAUUGUGGAAGACAAUAUACUUAAACGAAUAAACAAUAUUCCAAAAACCGCAAUUGAAGCAUUACAUGUGUGUAAUACCGAUAUUUAUCGUAAUGUACAAUUUAUUUUAAAAAUACUUUGCAUACUUUCCGUUUCUAUAACUACGCCAGAAAGAAUGGUUUCCAGUAUUAAAAUAAUAAAAACUUAUCUUCAAAACAGUAUGUCAAAGGUUGGUAAUUACUAUAGCUAUGCGCCUGUGCUUAAUAAAAUACAUUUUCAUAAUAUCUAAUAAGUAAUCUUGUUUGUAGAAAAGACUUAAUGACCUGGCAAUGUAGGCAAUUCAUUAUGAUAUUAUAUUUUCAAAUGAAGAGGUCAUUGAUGAACUUGAAAAAAAGCCUAGGAAUCUAGACAUAAUAUUGUAAAUUAAAACAAUUUAUAACAAUUGUUAAUUUGUAAAUGACGUGUAAUAUAAAAUAAUUAUAUUGAUAUGUGUUGAGAUAUAAACGUUAGAUAAAGGGGAUGUGGA